CUGAGUGACACUUCUGGAUUGAAGAAUGAAGAGCAAUGCUCUCUUUUUGUUCUGUACAGAAGCCAGCAAUGUUCCUGAUGGUGGCUUCUCCAUCAGGUCCAGGAAUGAAUGGUGCAGGAGUAAAGUCCCCAGCCAAACUUGGAUUAUCAUGUGGCCCAAGGCAUGGUCAUGUCUGACUCACAGGAACCCGGUGAAGGGCAGGGCUGCUAUCUGCGGUCCUCCUGCCUCAUAGCUGAGCCUGGGUGUUCAGAGGCUGGCUGGUGGACGAGUCACCUCAGCCAGCCUGUAGUGCGGCUAGCACCAGCAGCAACCUAAGAGCAGCCGAGCUUUGAUUUUUUUUCCCCAGAACUGAUAAGGAAAUUUCAGUCCACAGUAGAGAAGAUAUGAACAUUAUCCUGGAAUUUAUCAGCUGCAAUUGACUCCUGAGAGUGGAUAUUCAGCAUUUGAAACUCUAGAAACUGGGUAAUGAAUAAAGCAGCUCAACAGCUGGUGUGGUCAGCCCAGGGCAUCUUCUUCUGUGGACCAGGGCCUCGGUAACCCAUUGCCUCCUUUUCUUAUUUAACUUGCAAGCUUGGUUGUUCCCACCCCAAAAAAGCCUGGAACAAGUGCGUUCUUCUGUCACGAGGGUGAUUUAUCGUCAAGCAUCAAGCAAAUGUUCUUCAGGUCACCAGUUGAAAACUCAACCUGGUCAAGGCAAACACCUGUUAAAACAGGAAUAUUUGAGACGAGCCUCAGGUAACAUUUGGAAAGAAGCCUCCUCCAGGGGAGAGCUGCUUGCUCACGAAUGACCAGCUGAGCGGCCUGUUCCUAGAACCCUCCACCCGCUCAGCUCAGCCACUACAUCGAAUACCAGCAUCAUUCUUUGAUGGGAGGCACUGGUUCAGAAAGAGCCUCCUGGGGAGUGUGCACACAGGAGGGGAGUUUCCCUUAAAAACAAAAGCAAGUAGGAGUUUUCCAGUGGGUUUUUUUUUCUCUUCUCUCCCUCUGACUGGACAGUAAUCUCACACCACAUGCCUUCCAGCAAACACUCAUCACCCGAUAAAUCAUGUGACCCCUUCUGUUUACUUAGAGGUGCUUGCCCAGCUGAGGCCUCUAAUCCAGUCCUUGGUCUGAGACCGACUUCAGAGUGGUUUUCACUGGAAAAGGGAACUUCUAACGACUAGAUAAGGCAACCUAUUCAUCUGCACAGAGGUACUCCCUGGGUCAUUCCCUGGGAUGCUGGGAGACGCAGUGAAACAGACAACAGAGUUUAUGAAGCUGCCAGAAAGUGUGUUCUGGAGAACACUAGCCUUGUUUAGUUCCUACACAAUGUGGAGUAACUAUAGAAAGUCUCCUCUCUAAAGUAAUAUUGGGUUCCUUUUCAAGCCUUCCUUUAAUGUUUUGGAUUCUGGAAUCAACAAAAUGCAAAUACAUUUUUGGUGAGUGCUCUGGGAAAACUUCUGACUGAGCUAUUUUAAAUCGGAUUAAAGAAAAAAAAAGGCUACUUAUAAUGAGAAGAAGGUAGAGGCUGCUUUUGACAAGAUGAAGUGCCUGGCUCCAAGUCCAGAGCAGUGUAUCUCAGAGUGGACACAUGAAAUCCCCACAUCAGAAUCUCCUGGGCUUAGCACAGAGAAAGUUCCCUGGACUAUACCCCCACCUGAGAAUCAGAAUUGCAGGAAGUUGGGUUCCAGAAAGAUGCUAAAAACAAACAGAAGAGAAAAUACCCCAACAUAAACUCUUCAAGUGCAUGUUACGAUCAUGGCAUGUGACAUCUCUCUUCUAAAAACACCAUUUUGAAGAACUAGAAAUGACCUUUUUGGGUCAUGGACAGUCAAGCUGUAACAUGAAAAACUUGUGGAGGGGACAGAAUCUUCACCUUGUGAUCACCUUUGCAGGGCUUUUGUCUUCCCUAAGUCUACUCCCUGGCUAGUUUUUCAAGGUAAAUAGGCACUGUUCAGUUAAAAAAAGAAGUCCUUGGCCACUAAGAGAGUUCUUGGAGGACAGAUGUCUUGUGCCAGGACAAGGGUGUGCUGAAAAUGCAUCAGUGUGACACAUUUGUGGCGGUGCAGAUGCCAAGGUCGAGCUGGCUCAGGAACUGCAGAGGGUGAACUGAGUCUUGCAGGCACUUAUUAGACCAAACCAUUAUUUCAAAUUUCCAGAUGUCAUUUUAAAGCCUGACCUGCCCAUUGUCUCAGGACCCAGUCUCUCACCUCUGAGUGAAUGCGUUGGGAACAGAAUCCAGUUAUGAGUCAGAGCUGCCUAUUACUAAAAACCUUGGGAAUCUUGGAAGCAAGGUCACUGUAGCAUUACUGCUACUCAGGAGCUUCCUACAGGUUCCCAGAGGCAGUCCCAGCCAGUGACAGAGCUGCGGCCGUGUAUCGCCCCAGGGACACUGAACACUAGGCUUUGGGGAGGCAGUCUUCAGCAGAGUUCUCUCACCGCCAACGUUGCCCACUUUUGACACUGAAACAGUAAAGCUGUCUUGGUACAGGGGACUGUGGAGGCUCAGACAGUAUCAUUGGUGACCAGGGUGGGUGGAAGACCAGAGGGUACUCCCCAGUGUUCUGGACUUCAAGGACUGUAUAGUGUAAGAUGCUUUCAGCUAGUGAGUAAUAGAAUACCCAAAUAAAGGAGUCUUGAAAAACGGAAAUUUAUUAUCACACACAUCAAGAAGUUUCAGGGUAGGUAACCUCAACGACACAGUGAUGGCAGGGAAGCAAGUGGCUUCUUCUCUUGCUUCUCCCUCAUGGGAACAAGAUGGCCGCUGCAGAUCUAAGCAUCUUGCCUCACAUGGAUGUGUUCAAAGUCAGGAAGGAAUGCCUUUGUUUUGAUUCAGGUGGAAACUGUUCCCCUGAAGAUCCUAGAAUCUACUGUCACCUGCCCAACCACACUAUAGGUAGGAAGGCAGGGUAGGUUUGCUGGAAUAGGCUUAGACUAAUCAUGUUCCAUUUGCCUGUGCUUGGGGAAGGGUUCAUCUUCCCUGUGUAUAUUGCUGCCCUGCACUUGAAUAAAAUUAGGGUUCUAUCCGCAAAAAACAGGAGUGCAGUGGCUGCUGAACAGGCCAUGGAGGGUGGACAAGAUCCUCGCCAAAGGGAUGGUACAUGCAUUAUCUUUGAUAGGGAGUUCCUUCCUAAUGGCCAAGAAUAAAUGUCCUGCCCUGGAGAAAAGGAGUUCACUUGAUUUUAGAAAAUAAAAAAGUUAACAUUUUUCA